rnacentral:misc_RNA from 1 species
GAUGAAGAACGCAGCAAAAUGCGAUAAGUAAUGUGAAUUGCAGAAUUCAGUGAAUCAUCGAAUCUUUGAACGCACAUUGCGCCCGCCAGCAUUCUGGCGGGCAUGCCUGUUCGAGCGUCAUUUCAACCCUCGACCUCCCUUUGGGGAAGUCGGCGUUGGGGACCGGCAGCACACCGCCGGCCCUGAAAUGGAGUGGCGGCCCGUCCGCGGCGACCUCUGCGUAGUAAACCAACUCGCACCGGAACCCCGACGUGGCCACGCCGUAAAACACCCAACUUCUGAACGUUGACCUCGAAUCAGGUAGGACUACCCGCUGAACUUAAGCAUAUCAAAGCGGAGGA